UACUAAGGCGCUUGAGAGAACUCUGGUGAAGGAACUAGGCAAAAUAGUACCGUAACUUCGGGAGAAGGUACGCUGUUGAUGGUGAAGGAUUUACUCCGUAAGCUAUCGGCAGCCUCAGAAACUAGGCCGCUGCAACUGUUUAUUAAAAACACAGCACUCUGCAAACACGAAAGUGGACGUAUAGGGUGUGAUGCCUGCCCGGUGCUGGAAGGUUAAUUGAUGGGGUUAGCGAAAGCGAAGCUCUUGAUCGAAGCCCCAGUAAACGGCGGCCGUAACAAUAACGGUCCUAAGGUAGCGAAAUUCCUUGUCGGGUAAGUUCCGACCUGCACGAAUGGCAUAAUGAUGGCGGCGCUGUCUCCACCAGAGACUCAGUGAAAUCGAAAUCGCGGUGAAGAUGCCGUGUACCCGCGGCUAGACGGAAAGACCCCGUGAACCUUUACUGCAGCUUUGCACUGAACUUUGACCUUACUUGUGUAGGAUAGGUGGGAGGCUUUGAAGCUCGGACGCUAGUUCGAGUGGAGCCAUCCUUGAAAUACCACCCUGGUAAUGUCGAGGUUCUAACCCAGAUCCGUUAUCCGGAUCGGGGACAGUGUACGGUGGGUAGUUUGACUGGGGCGGUCUCCUCCUAAAGAGUAACGGAGGAGUACGAAGGUGCGCUCAGCGUGGUCGGAAAUCACGCAAUGAGUAUAAAGGCAAAAGCGCGCUUAACUGCGAGACCGACAAGUCGAGCAGGUACGAAAGUAGGUCUUAGUGAUCCGGUGGUUCUGUAUGGAAGGGCCAUCGCUCAACGGAUAAAAGGUACUCUGGGGAUAACAGGCUGAUACCGCCCAAGAGUUCAUAUCGACGGCGGUGUUUGGCACCUCGAUGUCGGCUCAUCUCAUCCUGGGGCUGAAGCAGGUCCCAAGGGUAUGGCUGUUCGCCAUUUAAAGAGGUACGCGAGCUGGGUUUAGAACGUCGUGAGACAGUUCGGUCCCUAUCUACCGUGGGCAUUGGAGACUUGAGAGGAUCUGCUUCUAGUACGAGAGGACCGAAGUGGACGUACCUCUGGUGUUCGGGUUGUCACGCCAGUGGCACUGCCCGGUAGCUAUGUACGGACGGGAUAACCGCUGAAAGCAUCUAAGCGGGAAGCCCACCUUAAGAUAAGGUCUCCCUGGGGGUUUAACCCCCCUAAAGAGCCGUUAGAGACCAUGACGUUGAUAGGUUCGGUGUGGAAGUGCGGUGACGCAUGAAGCUAACGAAUACUAAUUGCUCGUGAGGCUUGAUU
rnacentral:rRNA from 1 species